GAGGGAGGGCGUGCGAGGCCCCGCGGGCUGCCCAGCCCCAGCGCUGGCCUGCAGCUGGACCCGCGAGCCUGCAGGAGCACGUGGGAGAGCACGUGAGCGACCAUCGAUGGGCGAGUCCGGCGCGUGCCGGGCCGCUUUGGACCGAGCGGGGGCUCAGAACAGGGCAGGGCAGAGAGCGAAGGUGGCCGUGGGACCUCCGUGUCCCGCAGUUGGGGCUGCCCAGGAUGCGGCCCCCGAGCAGGGCCGACGGGGAUCGGGCACCACCCGGCUGGUGCUGGGUCAUGGGUUUGCCGAGGCUGCAGAAGCUGGCGAGAGCACUUAGAAUUUGCAUUGUGCGAUAGCCGGGAGCUAAGGGCAGGAGGGGCAAGGAGACAAGUCGAGUGACCCCUGCCCGGGCAGUGCAGAGGAGCAGGCCGAGCUAGAGGCUCAGUGGCGUGUCCAGAGAUCAUGGGAAGCACCAGCCCAGGCCCUGGUCCCACCAGUUCUGUACCCCAUUUCCCACUGGUGGGGAGUGGCAGGGGUCAGCACGUUUGGGGGACAGUGGACAAGCCAAGAAGAUCACCAGUAACCAGAGUGGCCUUGUCAAGGAGCCUGUUGCCUGGCUGAGAAGAGAGUGACCCUUCUUCCCUGUAGACACGCCCUGCAUUGCCCCCAGGAGGAUGCGGCAGCUCAAGGGGAAGCCCAGGAAAGAGACGUCAAGGGACAAGAAGGAGCGGAAACAGGCCAUGCAGGAGGCACGACGGCAGAUCGGCACAGUGGUGUUGCCCACACUGGCCGUGCUGGUACUUCUGCUCGUGCUCUUCGUCUACAUGGCCACACGCCCUGCCAGCAGCGAGUGAAGAGCAGCGUGUUCCCCGCAGCCUCACUGAGCCCGACUUUAUUGCUGGCCGGGGAGGGAAUGGGGGGCAUGGGUCAGUGAGUGACCCCGUGCCCAUGGCCGCUUCAUGUGCCUUGAGACUUGGACCCCCCACUUCCACAGAACUGUGCUGCUCUCACCCAGAGCAGUGCAGGGCUCGAUGCAGAGGUGAAAUAUUUAUUUUUUGAAUAAAGGAGCUAUUGCUUGAA